rnacentral:misc_RNA from 1 species
UCUCCGUAGGUGAACCUGCGGAGGGAUCAUUACAGAGUUCAUGCCCUACCGGGUAGAUCUCCCACUCUAUGUUAUUAUUACUUUGUUGCUUUGGCGGGCCGUUAGGCUCCGGCCCGACUACCGGCCCCGGCUGGUAAGCGUCCGCCAGAGGACCCAAAACCCUGAAUAUUAGUGUCGUCUGAGUACUAUAUAAUAGUUAAAACUUUCAACAACGGAUCUCUUGGUUCUG